UCGAGGGGCAGCGGGUAGGUGAGCUUGCUCAUUUAUGCCGGCGACCGGCGCACGGGUGAGUAACACGUAUGCAACCUGCCCGUCUCAGGGGGAUAAUCGUCGGAAACGGCGUCUAAUACCCCGUAUGAAGCUGGACGGCAUCGUCUGGUUUUGAAAGAAUAUCGGAGACGGAUGGGCAUGCGGCGCAUUAGCUAGUUGGCGGGGUAACGGCCCACCAAGGCGACGAUGCGUAGGGGUUCUGAGAGGAAGGUCCCCCACACUGGUACUGAGACACGGACCAGACUCCUACGGGAGGCAGCAGUGAGGAAUAUUGGUCAAUGGGCGAGAGCCUGAACCAGCCAAGUCGCGUGAGGGAGUACUGCCCUAUGGGUUGUAAACCUCUUUUGUCGGGGAGCAAAAGCCGGACGUGUCCGUCUGUGAGAGUACCCGAAGAAAAAGCAUCGGCUAACUCCGUGCCAGCAGCCGCGGUAAUACGGAGGAUGCGAGCGUUAUCCGGAUUUAUUGGGUUUAAAGGGUGCGCAGGCGGAUUUUUAAGUCAGCGGUCAAAUCGUGGGGCUCAACCCCAUCCAGCCGUUGAAACUGGGGAUCUAGAGUGUGCGAGAGGUAUGCGGAAUGCGUGGUGUAGCGGUGAAAUGCAUAGAUAUCACGCAGAACCCCGAUUGCGAAGGCAGCAUACCGGUGCACAACUGACGCUCAGGCACGAAAGCGUGGGUAUCGAACAGGAUUAGAUACCCUGGUAGUCCACGCAGUAAACGAUGAAUGCUACCUGUUUGGCCAGA
rnacentral:rRNA from 1 species